UUAGGCAAGGUCUCUCACCAAACCUGGGGUUCACAAACUCACCUCAACAAGCUCCCGGGAUCCUCCUGUGACCACCGUCCUAGUGCUGGGAUCGCAGGUGACGGCUGAGAUCGGCAUUUUAUGAGUCCUGAGGAUCUGAGCUCCCGUUCUCGCACAGUCUUUACGGAAGCAUGUUUUCAGCUGUCUUCUUGGUUUUUUUUUUUUUACUUUCCUCUUUUUUUUUUUUCCUAUUUUGUCUUUUUUUCCUUUCCUUUCCUUUCCUGACAGGGACUCACAUAGCCCAGGCUGGCCUUGAACUUGCUAAGUAGCUGAACAUGACCUUGAACUUGUGAUUCUCCUGCCUCCCCCUCCCAGGGGCUAAGAUGGCAGGCUUGGGCACCAUAUCUGGCUUAUGCACCACUGGAGAUAAAACCCAGAGCUUCCCAGACAUUUAGCGGUCACUUUACCAGAAUGGAACAUGUUGAAACAAUUGAUUUGUAUACAUCAAGUCAUCCUUUGACCCCAAAGAUGAAUCACAUUUGGUCAUGGUGCCUGCAGAGGCCAGAAGAGCUGCUGUAGCUGGAGUUACAGGCAGUUGUGUGCUAGCAGAUGUGGAAGCUGGAAACCAAACUGAGGUCCUCCAGAAGAGCAACUGCUGAGCCAUCCCUCCAGCUCCAGAACUGUCGACCUUGUCUUCUUUUUGGUAAAGCCUGCUGCUGAGUCCCUUCCAUGAAAAUUUCAGUUCAUCUAUCGUAGUUUUAACUAUAAGAUUUCUGCUUGAAAUUCCCUGUGUUCAAAUUUUCUUGUUCUGUUGCUCUCCUUGUGGAGUUCCUGUCCUCUCCAGCUCUUACUAUUUCCCACUUCUUACAUAAAAUUCCAUUCACUCCAACCAAGGACUAUUCAUGGAGAUAACCUAGAACCCCGACAAUGCAGCCACUUCUGAUGAGAACUGAUAGAUGAAGAUCAGAAAGAAGGAGAAGAGGACCUCCCCUAUCAGUGGACUUGGG